GGCCGAUCACGGCCCAAUGAUUUUUAAGCCCAGUGAGGUCUAAUUUUAUAACCUCAUGUAUCGAUCUAGAGCUAAAGUGUAAAGUUAUGAUGUUGACUGACUGUUGUGAGGUGUGACGUGUGCAGUUUAAGCCCGCAGCUUUCCCUAAACAAUAAAUCACCUUUUGUGGUCCAAGAUGGCGGACUAUCUGUCCAGGGCAUGCAGACUCCAGCUAACCACAGCCAUGGAGAACCUGGUAAGGACUGCAGUGUUGGAGAUUUCGCAGAUCUUUGAGGAUAGCUUACAUGAUCAUCAGGUGGAGCUCGCACGUAAAGGAGAAGAGAUUGCUCAUCUGAAAGUGAAGCUGCAGCGAGUUGAGCUGAAGCUCAAAGACAUGUCAGCACAAAGUGCAACUGACACGAGCUUUACACAGAUUUAUGAAACUUCACCAAAGUCAGAAGAACCUGCACCUGAAAAAUCCACUGACCCUGAAAUUGAUUUUGAAGUAACUGAUGACUGGUGUGUUCCUCUGGACUCUGAGAAUGUGGUCAAACAAGACAUUCCUUGCCCAAGUGUUCGACUAAAACAAUUUUCUAUUCCUCUGUGGCCCAUUUCUUUACAGCAUGAGGCUUUUCUGAAAAUCCCAAAAGUAAGGCUUAGACCACGUCAAAACAGAGAUAAUAAAGAUUUACAUGAAAAAAUCAAGCCCAAAGGCCAGUCAAAGCGUGGCCGACCAAGGCUCCAUCCCCUAGAAAAAGACACAUUUAAAGAUUUACAUGAAAAAAUCGAACCCAAAGUCCCAUCUAAACGUGGCCGACCAAGGAUCUGUCCUCUGGAAAAAGACGCAUUUAAAGAUUUACAUGAAAAAAUCGAACCCAAAGUCCCAUCUAAACGUGGCCGACCAAGGAUCCGUCCUCUGGAAAAGGACAGAUUUAAAGAUGUGCUAGUGAAUAUUAAAGAAGAACCCUCCGACUAUGAAGUAAAGCCACCCAUACAAACAGAAAUACAGAAAACCCACAAACGCACAAAGAGACGCACAAAGAGACGCAAAAGACGCAACUCUACAGGACAACAGUAUUGCUGCAGGUUCUGUCCUAAGGUCUUUGACACAGCAUUCGGCCUCAGUGUUCAUGAUCGGGCACACAAGAAAUGCAAAGGCUGCAAAAAAAUCUUUCCUUUUCCAAGUGUUCUUCAAGAACAUAAGAUCAGAUGUAAAUAUUAUAAGGCGUUAAUGAAGUUAUCCAAACAACUGCCUACAAAGGGAGGAAAGUGCCCAAGUAUCAAACAAGUCUCUGAGAAAUGCAACACUUCAGUAGAAAGCACAUCGCGUGUUAGAAGGAUUAUCAAAGAGUUUACUUGUAAAAAAUGCCUGACAAAGUUUGCUACACGUUCGCUACUUAUAAAGCAUUCUUGUAAUUUUGCGGUCUGUCCAAUCUGCUCAAAAAGGUUUACCAGUCAAAUGAAUCUAAAGGUGCAUACAACAAAAAUACACAAGAAUCCCACGUACAAUACAUUGGAACUAUCUUGGACCAAACCCUUGGAUGAGAAUGAGGACAAUCAAGAAAAAGACUUCUCGCUAACUGAAAAGUAUAUAAGAAGAUGUUCAGAUGGGUUUAAAUGCUUGAUCUGUAAGAGGGUCUGUGCGACAAAAUACAGUGCUACGGAACAUUACUAUUCACAUACUGGGGAGAAGCCGUACAGUUGUGGUGUAUGCUCGAAAACAUUUGCUCACAGAUCUGCUCUGAGCCACCAUAGAAUAACUACUCAUGGUAUGCAUAUGAAGUACCUAAUAUGUGCGUGUUCCAAGAGAUUUAUGUACAAAUUAAAGUACAAGGAACACACACUGAUCUGCCCCACUGCUAAUGCUCAGAAAAAUGGAAAAAAGGCGUAACUAUUGUGCUGUCAGAUGUAUCUUUUAGAUUUACUAAUUUUUAAACUAAAUGUUGGUUGUAUUUUGUAGGUAACGUGUUGUAGUGCUUUGUCUGUCUGAUUUUGUAGUCGUGUAAAAUUAUUGAAGUACUGUCAUGACAUUUCAAUCAAAUAAAACCCAAUCUCCACAGCUUUCUAUGUUUUAUAUGGCUGCUUAUGUUUGGUAUACAGUAUUUGGGAUUGCGAGACUUGUCUUCUCGCGAGACUUGGCGACAUUGUCAUCGGAG
ensembl:lncRNA